AUGUUCAUUCAAAAAAAGUAAGGUGGAGUGGGCUAUAGAGAUAUCAACUGUUUUAACGCUUUACUGGUAAAACAAGCUUGGAGACUUAUUGGUAAUACGGAUUCUCUUUGUGCGAUGAUCGUCAAAGCGAAAUAUAUCAGUGAUGGAGAUCUCUUGAAUGACACCUUGAGGAACAAAUCUUAGUAUACUUGGCAAAGUAUUAUGGCCGGUGUUGAAGUCCUAAAGAUUGGACACAUAUGGAGAGUUGGUGAUGGGGCACAAAUUAAGAUUUGGGAGGAUGAAUGGAUUCCACAAUCCCCAACCAGAAAGGUAAUAACUACUCGUGGUAAUCAUCUUCUAUCACAUGUGUGUGAUCUCAUUGACCCUAUGACAGGUGAUUGGGAUGAAAAUGAACAGCUUGUUAGGCAAACAUUUUGGCAGGUGGAUGCCCAUCUUGCAAUACCGCUACCAUUGCAUGAUAUGACCGAUUUUGGUGCUUGGAACAUGACUAGAACAGGAGUAUCCACAGUGUAG
rnacentral:rRNA from 1 species